rnacentral:rRNA from 1 species
CCUACGGGGGGCUGCAGUGGGGAAUAUUGCACAAUGGGCGCAAGCCUGAUGCAGCCAUGCCGCGUGUGUGAAGAAGGCCUUCGGGUUGUAAAGCACUUUCAGCGGGGGGGAAGGCGGUGAGGUUAAUAACCUCAUCGAUUGACGUUACCCGCAGAAGAAGCACCGGCUAACUCCGUGCCAGCAGCCGCGGUAAUACGGAGGGUGCAAGCGUUAAUCGGAAUUACUGGGCGUAAAACGCACGCAGGCGGUCUGUCAAGUCGGAUGUGAAAUCCCCGGGCUCAACCUGGGAACUGCAUUCGAAACUGGCAGGCUAGAGUCUUGUAGAGGGGGGUAGAAUUCCAGGUGUAGCGGUGAAAUGCGUAGAGAUCUGGAGGAAUACCGGUGGCGAAGGCGGCCCCCUGGACAAAGACUGACGCUCAGGUGCGAAAGCGUGGGGAGCAAACAGGAUUAGAUACCCUUGUAGUC